rnacentral:rRNA from 1 species
AGGACGAACGCUGGCGGCGUGCUUAACACAUGCAAGUGGAGCGACGAACCAGGGCUUGCCCUGGGGCAGAGCCGCGAACGGGUGAGUAACACGUGGGUUACCUACCCCGAUGACCGGGACAACCCGAGGAAACUCGGGCUAAUACCGGAUGUGGUCCUCGGACUAAAGGAAGCUUCGGCCUCCGCAUCGGGAUGGGCCCGCGGCGCAUUAGCUUGUUGGUGGGGUAACGGCCUACCAAGGCGACGAUGCGUAGCUGGUCUGAGAGGACGAUCAGCCACACUGGGACUGAGACACGGCCCAGACUCCUACGGGAGGCAGCAGUGGGGAAUCUUGCGCAAUGCGCGAAAGCGUGACGCAGCAACGCCGCGUGGGGGAAGAAGGCCUUCGGGUUGUAAACCUCUUUCAGGAGGGACGAAGCUACUCGGGUUAAUAGCCCAGAGGGUGACGGUACCUCCAGAAGAAGCCCGGCUAACUACGUGCCAGCAGCCGC